GACGAACGCUGGCGGCGUGCUUAACACAUGCAAGUCGAACGGUGAAGCGCCUUCCUUUUUGGUGGGUGUGGAUGAGUGGCGAACUGGUGAGUAACACGUGAGUAACCUGCCCCCUUCUUCUGGAUAACCGCAUGACAGUGUUGCUAACACGGGAUAUUCUGGGUCUGUCGCAUGAUGGGUCUGGGACAGAUUUUGUUUCGGUGGGGGAUGGGCUCGCGGCCUAUCAGCUUGUUGGUGGGGUGAUGGCCUACCAAGGCGGUGACGGGUAGCCGGCCUGAGAGGGUGGACGGUCACACUGGGGCUGAGACACGGCCAAGACUCCUAGAGGCGGCAGCAGUGGAGAAUAUUGCACGAGGGGCGGAAGCCUGAUGCAGCGACGCCGCGGGGGGGAUGGAGGCCUUCGGGUUGUGAACCUCUUUCGCCAGUGAAGCAGGCCUGCCUCGUUUGUGGGUGGGUUGACGGUAGCUGGAUAAGAAGCGCCGGCUAACUACGUG
rnacentral:rRNA from 1 species